GCCUGGGUGGCUCAGUCGGUUGAGCGUCUGACUUCGGCCCAGGUCAUGAUCUCGCGGUUUGCGGGUUCGAGUCCCGCAUCGGGCU
rfam:Felis catus isolate Cinnamon breed Abyssinian chromosome C1, whole genome shotgun sequence.